UUGAAAGAAAUCAAUUCAAACAUCCUCUGCAAAGUUUCAAACAUUAAGCAGAUAAGCCAGGAUUAGGACAGGUAAGGAGACGGUCAUUGAAAAAGCUUCAGUGCUUGGGGAAAGUAGAAAGGCUCUCUCCAUGGGCAUGCAGAACAAUCCUGGAAGUGAAUUCCCAGAAUUCUGGACAAAAAGAAGGACAUCUUUUCUUACAUGCCAAUUGGAUAUUUCAAAUAGAAGGAAAUACUAAGAGUAGAAGUCAACUGGGACCAAGACCUGUUCCCUGUAUUUGGAAUUAAUUAUAAACCAUUCAAAUUGAACCAGAGUCAUUAUGACAUAAAUAAACAAAAGAAUGGAUAACAAAA